ACACAUCCCAAGGAUUAGCCUAUGAAGAGACCAAACUGUUUUAGAUCCUAGGAUAGAACUUUCUUUAAAAUGCCUCCUGAGUGGUGCACUUGGAUUAUGGCAGACUAGAGGACUGGAUGCUACAGGGACGAUCUGAAGAUGUAGGUGACAAAGAACCAGAAAUAUGUGUGUAGGAAGAAGUGAAAAUCAAAUCCCGUGGCUGGCUGAGACUCUGCCAUAGCCAGCAAGAAGGUUGAGAUAAUUUCUUCUCCAACUCACCAAGUAUUCGAAGUCUGGCUGGUGUUUCUCUUUACGUGCUGGUCUUAAGUACAACGCAGAGGAUCACACUUAGCAGAUAAUUGUCAAGUUCGUGGGACAGUCUGUUCCUUGGAAAUGCUUUCUACUCUAAAGAUGCUGUACUCCAUCACUGGUGUGUGCAUGACUUCCUGGUCCUACUGAAGCCAGGAAAAUAUUGAAAUGCGGACAUAGGCAUUCGGAGAUGCACUUAUGAAGACCCGUGAGCUCCUAAUUAUGAAAAAGCUACAGUCAGUGUAACUGCUGCAUCUUCCUUUGAGUUGAACAUUUCUGCUGGUUUGUAACGUAACGCUUUCAUCUAAGUAUUCUGCAAUUUGGG